rnacentral:misc_RNA from 1 species
CUUGUGGGUGGCUUUUCCUUGCUGGUUUCUCACUUUUCAUCCACACACUAGCACAAACAGACAAUUAUAUAGUUCACAUGGAUUUAUCCGCCAUGCCCAAAGCCUUCUCUAGCCAGCAUAGCUGGUAUUUGGCCACUCUUUCUUCAGCGUUUGCAGUAUCUACUAUCAGAAGCACCAUUACUCCUACCUCACACUCCUCUUCUAAACUUAUCUAUACUUAUACCCAUGCAAUCUCUGGUUUUAGUGCUCAUCUCUCUCCUUCUGAGCUUGAGGCCUUGAAGAACUCUUCUGGCUACAUUUCCUCCUUUAAAGACCUCCCUGUUAAACUCGACACAACUCGUACACCAAAAUUUCUAGGUCUCACCUCCAAUUCUGUAGCAUGGAAAGCGUCGAAUUAUGGGGAAGAUGUCAUUAUCGGAUUCGUAGAUACAGGUAUUUGGCCGGAAAGUGAGAGCUACAGUGACAGUGGAAUUUCUGGAAUUCCAAAAAGAUGGAAAGGAGAGUGUCAGAGUGGCACCAACUUCAACGCUUCAUUAUGCAACAAGAAGCUCAUUGGAGCUCGAUUUUUUAACAAAGGUCUAAUUGCCAGGGAUCCUAACAUCACCAUAUCCAUGAAUUCAACUCGUGAUACGGACGGCCACGGGACCCACACCUCGAGUACGGCGGCUGG